GAGGAUAUUUCGCGUUCUUCGAUGACCAGCAAACUGGUUUGAAAUCGUCCAUGUCCAAAACCCAAAACAUAACGCCGCUGUAUCGAUGAUUUUUCAACCACUGAGUCUAAAUUAACGUUGAAAAGUAAGUCAUAAGCAGACACAGAUCGCCAGAAGUGCAAUUCUGAUGGUCCUCCAGCGGGUUUGGUAAUAGUUUGUCUACAAAUUAUGCAAGACUUUUCGACAGCUGCUACGUGGAACAAAAGACACGACACGGCCCUAGUUAUAUAAACCGGAUAUAAAUAUAAUUACAUCGUUAUUAUUUUGAAAUUACAAUGAAUUUGAUUAGCUGCCAGUGAGACUACAGCAUUCAAUAUUGUAGCUAAUUUAAACGGCAUUAGUUACAUAAAGAGAACGAACAGAAUUGACUUGUUAUUGCUUUGAUAAUAAUACUAAGCAUUAUAAUGAAUUUUAUUUGUGUCCAGCAAGAGCUUUUGUAUUUUAUAAACUGACCAGCUGCUACUAACAUAACCAAGUUAUUAAGACAAGCGCGACUCACAUUAAAACUUCAGCUUUUUGCAGACCAGAGUUUAAAAAUUGUGUCGAUACUUAUUCGGAGGAAUGCACAUUGCUUAACGAAGAUGUCAAAAUGCAAUUGUGAAAUUGUCAAAACGCAACUGUGAAAUUGUCUGGAGUCAAAACAAAAUGGAGUCAAAACAAAAUGGAGUCAAAACAAAAUGCAGGCGCCACAAUGGGUCUUUGCUUUGAACGAUCUCACAAGACAGGAUAGCACAUAGCCUACAACGGCCUUUGAUAUCAAUCAUGAAGGAUUGAUUGGAACGUAAAGGCACUACCUGGCAUAUCCACUGUCCUUAGUAUGUGUUAUGUCCAUAAAUAUUUACGAUAAAAAAGGAGAAAAAAAAAAAAGGA